AUUUCUGGGCCCUUGAUUCUGUUCCAUUGGUUCAUGUGCCUAUUUUUAUGCCAACACCACACCAUUUGAAUAACAAUAGCACUUAAUAUAGUU